CCCUUAGAUGUUCUGGGCCGCACGCGCGCUACACUGAUGCAUUCAACGAGCCUAUCCUUGACCGACAGGUCCGGGUAAUCUUUGAAUCUGCAUCGUGACGGGGAUAGAUUAUUGCGAUUAUUAAUCUUCAACGAGGAAUGCCUAGUAGGCGCAAGUCAUCAGCUUGCGUCGAUUACGUCCCUGCCCUUUGUACACACCGCCCGUCGCUCCUACCGAUUGGGUGUGCUGGUGAAAUGUUCGGAUCGGCCGUUUGUCGCGGUUUCCGCGUCAUGUGGCUGAGAAGUUCAUUAAACCCUCCCACCUAGAGGAAGGAGAAGUCGUAACA
rnacentral:rRNA from 1 species